CCUACGGGUGGCUGCAGUGGGGAAUAUUGGGCAAUGGGCGCAAGCCUGACCCAGCAACGCCGCGUGAAGGAAGAAGGCUUUCGGGUUGUAAACUUCUUUUGUCAGGGACGUAGCAAGUGACGGUACCUGACGAAUAAGCCACGGCUAACUACGUGCCAGCAGCCGCGGUAAUACGUAGGUGGCAAGCGUUAUCCGGAUUUACUGGGUGUAAAGGGCGUGUAGGCGGGACUGCAAGUCAGAUGUGAAAUCCACGGGCUCAACCUGGGGCCUGCAUUGGGAACUGGAGUUCUUGAGUACGGGGGAGGCAGACGGAAUUCCUAGUGUAGCGGUGAAAUGCGUAGAUAUUAGGAGGAACACCAGUGGCGAAGGCGGUCUGCUGGACAGCAACUGACGCUGAGGCGCGAAAGCGUGGGUAGCAAACAGGAUUAGAUACCCCAGUAGUC
rnacentral:rRNA from 1 species